AUGGCUAAAGGUAAGGAUCGAAAAAGAUGUUGCUGCACUUAAUCACAUGAGCUUCUCUACUGCUCUUCCUAACAACAACAUAUUGGAAUUGUGGAAGCGACCUUCUGGUUCUAAGCUUACGCAUUCACUUUUCCAGUUUGAUCUUGCAUUUGUUACAUGAAUAAUCUUUUCCUCUUUAUAAAGUUAAUAUGACAGGAAAGUAGACAGUGCUAAAUAAGAUAGAAUACGAACAGAAUCCUUACAUGUUGCACUUCUCUGAGGCGCAAAUGAAAUGAUGCAAUUAUGUGAAUAUCUUGUCCUCUUUCGAUCUAUAAAGUUUCAGAAAGUAAACAGCUUUUAGCAAUACUCACUAGAACAGCCAAAGGUGAUCCUUAUAGCUUGCCCUUGAUUUUUUUUGUUUUUUUUUUUUUGUGCAUUUGCUAAAAAACCUUAUUACAAGGACACAGUUUUAUUUGCAUUAACUUCAUCUGGUCUUAGUCAUCCAGCAAAUGCAUUUCUACUUUCUGAGAGCAGAUACAAGUUGUGGUAAGAAGUUGCCUGACAAAUCUCUUAAAAUUUCAGCUACUGCUUGCUUUAGAUGUACUGACGUUGAUGAGUUCUGGUAAUCUUCAGGAAAAUUGAGAUAAAAAGGAUUCAUCAUGUGGAUGAAAAUGAAGGACAAGAAAACGAUGUUCUUCGACUUGUCUGCAUCUACCGUUGGUGACUCAAACUUGGUGAAGUGAUCAGAGUAAAUAUUUAGUAAGAAAGCAUUUCAACUCCGUCCAAAUGCGCUUGAUGUUUAUUAUCAACAUUAUGUUAUUGGUUUUCUUUCCUAAAUAAUUUGGG
rnacentral:lncRNA from 1 species